UACGGGGGGGGCAAGCGUUGUUCGGAAUUACUGGGCGUAAAGGGUUUGUAGGUGGCUGAUUAAGUCAGACGUGAAAUCCCUCAGCUUAACUGGGGAACUGCGUCUGAUACUGGUUAGCUUGAGUGCAGGAGAGGAACGCGGAAUUCCAGGUGUAGCGGUGAAAUGCGUAGAUAUCUGGAGGAACACCGGUGGCGAAAGCGCUCUGCUAGGCCGCAACUGACACUCAUGGAUGAAAGCUAGGGGAGCGAAUGGG
rnacentral:rRNA from 1 species